rnacentral:rRNA from 1 species
GUGGGGAAUUUUCCGCAAUGGGCGAAAGCCUGACGGAGCAAUACCGCGUGGGGGAGGAAGGCUCUUGGGUCGUAAACCUCUUUUCUCAGGGAAGAAUAAAUUGACGGUACCUGAGGAAUCAGCAUCGGCUAACUCCGUGCCAGCAGCCGCGGUAAUACGGAGGAUGCAAGCGUUAUCCGGAAUGAUUGGGCGUAAAGCGUCCGCAGGUGGCAGUGUAAGUCUGCUGUCAAAGGUCAGGGCUUAACCCUGAACAGGCAGUGGAAACUACACAGCUAGAGUGCGGUGGGGGCAGAGGGAAUUCCCAGUGUAGCGGUGAAAUGCGUAGAGAUUGGGAAGAACACCGGUGGCGAAAGCGCUCUGCUAGGCCGUAACUGACACUCAUGGACGAAAGCUAGGGGAGCGAAUGGGAUUAGAUACCCCAGUAGUCCUAGCCGUAAACGAUGGAUACUAGGCGUAGCUCGUAUCGACCCGAGCUGUGCCGUAGCUAACGCGUUAAGUAUCCCGCCUGGGGAGUACGCUCGCAAGAG